ACUUGAGCCACACCACCACUUCUGACCAUUUUCUAUAUAUGUGGUGCUGAGGAAUUGAACCCAGGGCUUCAUGUAUGUGAGGCAAGCACUCUAUCACUGAGCCACAUUCCCAGCCCCACCUUACUAUUUUUCAGACAAGGUUUUGCCAACUUCUGGGCCAACCUGGGCCCACAAUCUUGCUGCUCAGGUUCUCAGACUCUAGUCCCAACCCUCCAGGAGUCCCUAUUAGUCCAGCCACUUGUCUGCAUAGGCCAAAAAAAUAAAUUAAGGAAGGGCUGAGAAUGGAGGUUUAUUACAGGGUGGCCCUGGGGGGGGGGGGCAGCACUUCUGUACAUCUUCAUCUUCAGGGUGGAGUCAGGGGUGUCGGGGGAAAGUUGGGGCAGUGGGUGAGGAAGGUGUGCAUAGUGAGAACAGUCCCGGGUCACAGGUGUUGACCAUCAGUUCAAUCUUUCUCUCUGGAGGAAUUCUGGAGAAGUUAUCAUCUUAUUCCUGGAGUGAAACCUGGGACACGUUGCCUGCUGAGUGGUCCCCUGGGCUUUGAGAUGAUAAGACUAUGGCAAUACUUGUUUCAGAAGCAGUUUUGCCCUCUAUCAUGUGUCACCAGAUGCUUAUCGGUGAGUCCUGUUCUUCCUGGAGUCCAAGGUGACUGCAACAGGGAAAGCUAAGAUCAAAGGGCACAAGACACUCUGUGUGUGUGUGUGUGUGUGUGUGUGUGUGUGUGUGUGUGUGUGUGUAGAGAGAGAGAGAGAGAGAAUAUCCACAUUUUAGUUAAUUCACAGGCCUUAAAAAAAAGCAUCUUUUAGGUUGCCUCAUACACUGUCCCCAACUCCCAAGGAGCUGGGAUGGCAAAUGUGCCCCAGAAUUUUAUAAUAUUGAACUAGUGUUAGGAGACCACAACCAUCCUUCAAAGGUAGAUCUAGA